rnacentral:rRNA from 1 species
AAUGAACGCUGGCGGCAUGCCUAACACAUGCAAGUCGAACGAAGCCUUCGGGCUUAGUGGCGCACGGGUGCGUAACGCGUGGGAAUCUGCCCUUGGGUUCGGAAUAACAGUGGGAAACUACUGCUAAUACCGAAUGAUGUCGUAAGACCAAAGAUUUAUCGCCCAGGGAUGAGCCCGCGUAGGAUUAGCUAGUUGGUGUGGUAAAGGCGCACCAAGGCGACGAUCCUUAGCUGGCUGAGAGGAUGAUCAGCCACACUGGGACUGAGACACGGCCCAGACUCCUACGGGAGGCAGCAGUGGGGAAUAUUGGACAAUGGGCGAAAGCCUGAUCCAGCAAUGCCGCGUGAGUGAUGAA